rnacentral:rRNA from 1 species
CCUACGGGGAGCAGCAGUGGGGAAUAUUGGACAAUGGGGGGAACCCUGAUCCAGCCAUGCCGCGUGUGUGAAGAAGGCCCUCGGGUUGUAAAGCACUUUCAGUGAGGAAGAACGCCUGGUGGUUAAUACCCAUCAGGAAAGACAUCACUCACAGAAGAAGCACCGGCUAACUCCGUGCCAGCAGCCGCGGUAAUACGGAGGGUGCGAGCGUUAAUCGGAAUUACUGGGCGUAAAGCGCGCGUAGGUGGCUUGAUAAGCCGGUUGUGAAAGCCCCGGGCUCAACCUGGGAACGGCAUCCGGAACUGCCAAGAGAGAGUUCAGGAGGGGGAUGUGAAAAGCUCGGGGUGGCGGCGAAAUGCGGACAGAUCGGGAGGCAAACCAGCUGCGAAGGCUGCCUUGCGGUCUGACACUGAUGAUGGGGUGAUCCAGCGUGGAGAGUAUACUGGAUUCGAUGCCGUUGUAGUU